rnacentral:rRNA from 1 species
UGCGUAGGCGGCUUGGAAAGUUGGGUGUGAAAUCCCUCGGCUCAACCGAGGAAUUGCGCUCAAUACUGCCAAGCUAGAGGGAGACAGAGGUAAGCGGAACUUAGGGUGGAGCGGUGAAAUGCGUUGAUAUCCUAAGGAACACCAGUGGCGAAGGCGGCUUACUGGGUCUCUUCUGACGCUGAGGCACGAAAGCUGGGGGAGCGAACAGGAUUAGAUACCCUGGUAGUC